rnacentral:rRNA from 1 species
CAUGGAGUUUGAUCCUGGCUCAGAUUGAACGCUGGCGGCAGGCCUAACACAUGCAAGUCGAGCGGUAGAGAGAAGCUUGCUUCUCUUGAGAGCGGCGGACGGGUGAGUAAUGCCUAGGAAUCUGCCUGGUAGUGGGGGAUAACGCUCGGAAACGGACGCUAAUACCGCAUACGUCCUACGGGAGAAAGCAGGGGACCUUCGGGCCUUGCGCUAUCAGAUGAGCCUAGGUCGGAUUAGCUAGUUGGUGGGGUAAUGGCUCGACCAAGGCGACGAUCCGUAACUGGUCUGAGAGGAUGAUUAGUCACACUGGAACUGAGACACGGUCCAGACUCCGUACGGGAGCAGCGAGUGGGGAAUUUGGACAAGUGGACGCAAGUCUGAU